GCACUGCUGAAGAGUCAUACAACAGGACGAAACGGUCGUCCAGUGC
rfam:Schistosoma curassoni strain Dakar, Senegal genome assembly, scaffold: SCTD_scaffold0007127